UACCAGCUCUCCGAGUGGUAGGGAUGAUUAUUGGGCUUAAAGCGUCCGUAGCCGGCUUAGCAAGUCUCCUGUUAAAUUCAGCGACCUAAUCGUUGAGCCGCGGGAGAUACUACUAGGCUAGGAGGCGGGAGAGGCCAACGGUACUUCCGGGGUAGGGGUGAAAUCCUAUAAUCCCGGGAGGACCACCGGUGGCGAAGGCUGUUGACUAGAACGCGCUCGACGGUGAGGGACGAAAGCUGGGGGAGCGAACCGGAUUAGAUACCCGGGUAGUCCCAGCUGUAAACUAUGCGGGCUAGGUGUUGGGGUGGCUACGGGCCACUUCAGUGCCGCAGGAAAGCCAUUAAGCCCGCCGCCUGGGGAGUACGGCCGCAAGGCUGAAACUUAAGGAAUUGGCGGGGGAGCACCACAAGGCGUGAAGCUUGCGGUUC
rnacentral:rRNA from 1 species